rnacentral:rRNA from 1 species
AUUGAACGCUGGCGGCAGGCCUAACACAUGCAAGUCGAGCGGAUGAAGGGAGCUUGCUCCUGGAUUCAGCGGCGGACGGGUGAGUAAUGCCUAGGAAUCUGCCUGGUAGUGGGGGAUAACGUCCGGAAACGGGCGCUAAUACCGCAUACGUCCUGAGGGAGAAAGUGGGGGAUCUUCGGACCUCACGCUAUCAGAUGAGCCUAGGUCGGAUUAGCUAGUUGGUGGGGUAAAGGCCUACCAAGGCGACGAUCCGUAACUGGUCUGAGAGGAUGAUCAGUCACACUGGAACUGGAACACGGUCCAACCCCCAACGGAGGGAAGCGGUGGGAAAUUUUGGCAAAUGGGGGAAGGCCUAAUCAGGCCAGGCCGGGGGUGUAAAGAAGGUCUUCGAAUGGUAAAGCAUUUUAAGUUGGGAGAAAGGGCAGUAAGUUAAUACCUUGCUGUUUUAACGUUACCAACAAAAUAGGCACCGGCAACCUUCGU